rnacentral:rRNA from 1 species
AAGUCGUAACAAGGUUUCCGUAGGUGAACCUGCGGAAGGAUCAUUAAAGAAUCGCCCCGUUUUUUGAAACGGGUUCUAUUCCCAAACCGUGUAUACAUACCUCUGUUGCUUUGGCAGGCCGCCUUCGGGCGUCGGCUCCGGCUGACUGUGCCUGCCAGAGGACCCAAACUCUUUUGUUUAGUGAUGUCUGAGUACUAUAUAAUAGUCAAAACUUUCAACAACGGAUCUCUUGGUUCUGGCAUCGAUGAAGAACGCAGCGAAAUGCGAUAAGUAAUGUGAAUUGCAGAAUUCAGUGAAUCAUCGAAUCUUUGAACGCACAUUGCGCCCCUUGGUAUUCUGAGGGGCAUGCCUGUUCGAGCGUCAUUAUAACCACUCAAGCCUGGCUUGGUAUUGGGGCUCGCGGUUCCGCGGCCCUUAAAAUCAGUGGCGGUGCCGUCUGGCUCUAAGCGUAGUAAUUCUCUCGCUAUAGGGUCCUGGCGGUAGCUUGCCAAAAUCCCCCUAUUUUUUACGGUUGACCUCGGAUCAGGUAGGGAUACCCGCUGAACUUAAGCAUAUCAAUAAGCGGAGGAAAAGAAACCAACAGGGAUUGCCUCAGUAACGGCGAGUGAAGCGGCAACAGCUCAAAUUUGAAAUCUGGCUCUUUCAGGGUCCGAGUUGUAAUUUGUAGAAGGUGCUUUGGGUGUAGCUCCGGUCUAAGUUCCUUGGAACAGGACGUCAUAGAGGGUGAGAAUCCCGUACGUGACUGGGUGCUUUCGCUCGUGUAAAGCUCUUUCGACGAGUCGAGUUGUUUGGGAAUGCAGCUCAAAAUGGGUGGUAAAUUUCAUCUAAAGCUAAAUAUUGGCCAGAGACCGAUAGCGCACAAGUAGAGUGAUCGAAAGAUGAAAAGCACUUUGGAAAGAGAGUUAAACAGUACGUGAAAUUGUUGAAAGGGAAGCGCUUGCAACCAGACUUGCGCGCUGUUGAUCAUCCGAGGUUUUCCCCGGUGCACUCGGCAGCGUUCAGGCCAGCAUCGGUUUUGGUGGGCGGAUAAAGGCCUUGGGAAUGUGGCUUCCUUCGGGAAGUGUUAUAGCCCCCGGUGCAAUGCGCCCUACCGGGACCGAGGACCGCGCUUCGGCUAGGAUGCUGGCGUAAUGGUUGUAAGCGACCCGUCUUGAAACACGGACC